UACGUAGGGGGCAAGCGUUUGUCCGGAAUCAUUGGGCGUAAAGAGCUCGUAGGCGGCCUGUCACGUCGGAUGUGAAAGCCCGGGGCUUAACCCCGGGUCUGCAUUCGAUACGGGCAGGCUGGAGUUCGGUAGGGGAGAUCGGAAUUCCUGGAUGUAGCGGUGGAAAUGACGCAGAUAUCAGGAGGAACACCGGUGGCGAAGGCGGAUCUCUGGGCCGAUACUGACGCUGAGGAGCGAAAGCGUGGGGAGCGAACAGG
rnacentral:rRNA from 1 species